rnacentral:rRNA from 1 species
AUUGGAGGGCAAGUCUGGUGCCAGCAGCCGCGGUAAUUCCAGCUCCAAUAGCGUAUAUUAAAGUUGUUGCAGUUAAAAAGCUCGUAGUUAAUUUUCUGUUAAUUUUUAUAUACAAUGCUACGGUAUUUAUAUAAUAUUAACAUAAUUCAUAUUACUUUUUAAGUAUAUGAAACUUUACUUUGAGAAAAUUAGAGUGCUUAAAGCAGGCUAUUGCCUUGAAUACUCCAGCAUGGAAUAAUAUUAAGGAUUUUUAUUCUUCUUAUUGGUUCUAGAAUAAAAAUAAUGAUUAAUAGGGACAGUUGGGGGCAUUUGUAUUUAACAGUCAGAGGUGAAAUUCUUAGAUUUGUUAAAGACAAACUACUGCGAAAGCAUUUGCCAAGGAUGUUUUCAUUAAUCAAGAACGAAAGUUAGGGGAUCGAAGACGAUCAGAUACCGUCGUAGUCUUAACCAUAAACUAUGCCAACUAGAGAUUGGAGGUUGUUCCUUACUCCUUC